rnacentral:lncRNA from 1 species
UAUGCUGUGGAGCCCAGUCACCAGUCAAGAUCCAUAUGAGAAUCAUAUCUUUGGACAUAUCCUAUAUAAAACAAAUACAUACUGAUACCGACAGGAGACAAGGAAACACUGUGUAGAAGAGGGCAGUUCCCUGGCAAAGGCCUCACCCUCAAGUCCGGAUACCUGCAGUCCUAAAUGAGAACAGGCAUUCCUGUUUUCACACCCAAAUGCUGUCUUUUGGCCUGCCACACCCCCUAUCUUGCACCCAUAUAAACUCUGAAUCCCAAGCUUCAGAAACAGACCAGCAAGCCAGCAGAACAGCAGAAAACACAGAACAACACAGCAGAGAAAGGGAGAUGAGGAAGAACAUCUGAAUGCAGAGAGGAGUUCAGCUAGGGGCAGUUGGAGAGGAGUCUGGCCGCUGGGCAGCCCGACUCUGAGGGAGGAUCGCCUUCCCACUCCAUUCCCCCUUUGCAGCUCCUCAUCCAUCCCUCUGAAAGCC